UGAGGAAUAUUGGUCAAUGGACGGAAGUCUGAACCAGCCAAGUAGCGUGCAGGACGACGGCCCUAUGGGUUGUAAACUGCUUUUAUAUGGGGAUAAAGUGGGCCACGUGUGGCUUAUUGCAGGUACCAUAUGAAUAAGGACCGGCUAAUUCCGUGCCAGCAGCCGCGGUAAUACGGAAGGUCCGGGCGUUAUCCGGAUUUAUUGGGUUUAAAGGGAGCGUAGGCCGUCUGUUAAGCGUGUUGUGAAAUGUCGGGGCUCAACCUGGGCAUUGCAGCGCGAACUGGCAGACUUGAGUGCGCGGGAAGUAGGCGGAAUUCGUCGUGUAGCGGUGAAAUGCUUAGAUAUGACGAAGAACUCCGAUUGCGAAGGCAGCCUGCUGUAGCGUAACUGACGCUGAAG
rnacentral:rRNA from 1 species